GCCAGGCAUGGUGGUGCAUGCCUGUAAUCCCAGCAGCUUGGGAGGCUGAGUCAGGAGGAUCAUGAGUUCAAAGCCAGCCUCGGCAAUGGUGAGGCAUUUAGCAACUCAAUGAGACCCUGUCUCUA
rnacentral:sRNA from 1 species